GCCUGAGUGGCUCAGUUGGUUGAGUGUCUGACUUUGGCUCAGGUCAUGAUCUCACAGUUUGUGGGUUCAAGCCCCACAUUGGGCU
rnacentral:tRNA from 1 species